rnacentral:rRNA from 1 species
GACGAACGCUGGCGGCGUGCUUAACACAUGCAAGUCGAACGGAAAGGCCUGCUUUCCCUUGUGGAUUGCGGGUACUCGAGUGGCGAACGGGUGAGUAACACGUGAGUGAUCUGCCCCCAACUUGGGUAUAAGCCUGGGAAACUGGGUCUAAUUCCCGAUAGGACUGCAGGGUGGUGCCUGUGGUGGACAACGAUUUUCUAGUGGUUGGGGAUGAGCUCGCGGCCUAUCAGCUUGUUGGUGGGGUAAUGGCCUACCAAGGCGGCGACGGGUAGCCGGCCUGAGAGGGUGGACGGCCACAUUGGGACUGAGAUACGGCCCAGACUCCUACGGGAGGCAGCAGUGGGGAAUAUUGCACAAUGGGCGGAAGCCUGAUGCAGCGACGCCGCGUGGGGGAUGACGGCCUUCGGGUUGUAAACUCCUUUCGACCGCGAGGAAGCCACCUGGUUGGAAGGGUGGUGACGGUAGUGGUAGAAGAAGCACCGGCUAACUACGUG